rnacentral:rRNA from 1 species
UACGUAGGGUGCAAGCGUUAAUCGGAAUUACUGGGCGUAAAGCGUGCGCAGGCGGCUUUGCAAGACAGAUGUGAAAUCCCCGGGCUUAACCUGGGAACUGCAUUUGUGACUGCAUGGCUAGAGUGCGGCAGAGGGGGAUGGAAUUCCGCGUGUAGCAGUGAAAUGCGUAGAUAUGCGGAGGAACACCGAUGGCGAAGGCAAUCCCCUGGGCCUGCACUGACGCUCAUGCACGAAAGCGUGGGGAGCAAACGGG